AUCAGAAGUGUAGUAAACAUUUUUCGUAAGAUUAUUGACAUACAUGUUACAAAGUAUAUUUCUACAAUCCUUUUUAUAAAGUUACAACCUAAAUAAAAUUUAUUUUUAAUGAUUUUAAAGUUUGACAGACAUGCACAAAUUGUUGGCAUAUUUUUAAACAAGUAAAAGUAGGAAAUACAUAAAAUUGUAGGUACUUUGAAGAAAUAUAGUUAACUGUAAGUGCUGUAUUUUAAUAAUCUAUCAAAAAUCAAAAUCAUCAGGAUAAUAUUAGGUAUUGAUUUUCAGACAAGAAUUAGAUUACAGUGAUGGUCAAAAGCAUUUAGAUAUUGCUUUGAAAUCUACAGAUAAGAUAUGGCAGUUUCAUUUUAAAGAACAAGAUGUUAAAGUUUGUGAUAAAAUUGUCAUCAGAAAUACUGUCCACUUCAGUAUUUACAUAGGAAAAUAUUGGAGGAUGAAGCUCUACCUACUGCCUCAGGUUAAUUUAAAUUCUGAAUUGCAACAGCAACAAGCAAGAAGGGCACCAUUAAAUGAAUAUUAUACACAUAAAGCAACAACAGAAUAAAAAACCAAAAUAUGAACACCAGCAACUAAAACAGGAACCAUUAAAUGAAUAUUAUACACAGCAAUAACAGCAUCAAAUAAUGGAAAUAAUGGACCCUACUGCUCAAAUCAAAAACAAAAUUUCAUCAUUACCACUUUAUUGGUUAUAUCAAUAAAAGAAAUUAUUGAGUUUAUGAGUCUAGAUCCUACAAGCAAGCAGAUCUAUCACAUAAUUUAAAAUGAAGAUUUAUCUAUUAUAGUAAUUUAUUCUAAUAAU